CAGCAGAGUCUCCCGAUAGCUGUGUCUGAGAGAGACGGACCAGCCACACCUGAACUGAAACCGUCAGGUUCCUACCGGAGGGCAGGCAAGUUGGGAAUUCGGACAAUGGGGCAACCUUGAUCCAGGCCAUUUCGGCUUGAGUGAAGAAGGGCCUUUCGGGAUGUAAAGCUCUUUCCGGCAGGAACGGAAAAGGCGGGCUCCUAACAUAGCCUGUCAAUGACGGUACCUGGAAGAAGAAGCACCCGGCUAACUACGUGCCAGCAGCCGCGGUAAUACGUAGGGUGCGAGCGUUAAUCGGAAAUUACUGGGCGUAAAGCGUGCGCAGGCGGUUUUGUAAGACAGGUGUGAAAUCCCCGGGCUUAACCUGGGAACUGCGCUUGUGACCGCAAGACUUGAGUGCGGCAGAGGGGGGUGGAAUUCCACGUGUAGCAGUGAAAUGCGUAGAGAUGUGGAGGAACACCGAUGGCGAAGGCAGCCCCCUGGGUCGACACUGACGCUCAUGCACGAAAGCGUGGGUAGCAAACAGGAUUAGAUACCCUGGUAGUCCACGCCCUAAACGAUGCCAACUAGGUGUUGGGGAAGGAGACUUCCUUAGUACCGUAGCUAACGCGUGAAGUUGGCCGCCUGGGGAGUACGGUCGCAAGAUUAAAACUCAAAGGAAUUGACGGGGACCCGCACAAGCGGUGGAUGAUGUGGAUUAAUUCGAUGCAACGCGAAAAACCUUACCUACCCUUGACAUGCCAGGAAUCCCGCUGAGAGGUGGGAGUGCUCGAAAGAGAACCUGGACACAGGUGCUGCAUGGCUGUCGUCAGCUCGUGUCGUGAGAUGUUGGGUUAAGUCCCGCAACGAGCGCAACCCUUGUCAUUAGUUGCCAUCAUUCAGUUGGGCACUCUAAUGAGACUGCCGGUGACAAACCGGAGGAAGGUGGGGAUGACGUCAAGUCCUCAUGGCCCUUAUGGGUAGGGCUUCACACGUCAUACAAUGGUCGGUACAGAGGGUUGCCAAGCCGCGAGGUGGAGCCAAUCCCAGAAAGCCGAUCGUAGUCCGGAUCGGAGUCUGCAACUCGACUCCGUGAAGUCGGAAUCGCUAGUAAUCGUGGAUCAGCAUGCCACGGUGAAUACGUUCCCGGGUCUUGUACACACCGCCCGUCACACCAUGGGAGUGGGUUUCACCAGAAGUAGGUAGCCUAACCGCAAGGGGGGCGCUUACCACGGUGGGAUUCAUGACUGGGGUGAAGUCGUAACAAGGUAGCCG
rnacentral:rRNA from 1 species